rnacentral:rRNA from 1 species
AUAAUGGGUCAGCGACUUAUAUUCUGUAGCAAGGUUAACCGAAUAGGGGAGCCGAAGGGAAACCGAGUCUUAACUGGGCGUUAAGUUGCAGGGUAUAGACCCGAAACCCGGUGAUCUAGCCAUGGGCAGGUUGAAGGUUGGGUAACACUAACUGGAGGACCGAACCGACUAAUGUUGAAAAAUUAGCGGAUGACUUGUGGCUGGGGGUGAAAGGCCAAUCAAACCGGGAGAUAGCUGGUUCUCCCCGAAAGCUAUUUAGGUAGCGCCUCGUGAAUUCAUCUCCGGGGGUAGAGCACUGUUUCGGCAAGGGGGUCAUCCCGACUUACCAACCCGAUGCAAACUGCGAAUACCGGAGAAUGUUAUCACGGGAGACACACGGCGGGUGCUAACGUCCGUCGUGAAGAGGGAAACAACCCAGACCGCCAGCUAAGGUCCCAAAGUCAUGGUUAAGUGGGAAACGAUGUGGGAAGGCCCAGACAGCCAGGAUGUUGGCUUAGAAGCAGCCAUCAUUUAAAGAAAGCGUAAUAGCUCACUGGUCGAGUCGGCCUGCGCGGAAGAUGUAACGGGGCUAAACCAUGCACCGAAGCUGCGGCAGCGACGCUUAUGCGUUGUUGGGUAGGGGAGCGUUCUGUAAGCCUGCGAAGGUG